GCCUGGCUGGCUCAAUUGGAAGAGCUUGUGACUCUUAAAGACACAUUUUCAGGGACACCUGGGUGGCUCAGUUGCUUGCAUUUAGGACUCUUGAUUUCUGCUCGGGUCAUGAUCUUGGGGUGGUGGGAUCGAGCUCCGUGUCAGGCU
rnacentral:tRNA from 1 species